rnacentral:lncRNA from 1 species
UUGAAAGAUGAAAUCCAUCCAUUAUUCCAGACACUUUAAAAUCUACCCUUGGAUUUGGACAAAUCAGAAGACAGCUGCAUACCUGGAUGGUAGCUCACAGGCAAAUAUACAGAAAUGUAUAAAGAAACUGACUUCAGUAAAGAUAAGUGAGUAGCCGAAAAUCCCACUUAAAGAGGCAAAACCAUAUUGGAACCAAUGUUACAAUGAAUCCUAGUAGGCUUCUACAACAUGCUUGGUCACUUCAACACCAGGAUCCUGCAGCACUCGCAGCUUCUUCAGUGCCUAGCUCCUGUGGUGUAGAGUGCCUAAGGUAAAGACAUCUUAUGAUCAGCUUUCCUCAGCACCCCAGAGGGAGAAUUUCCUGCAAGUUCUGCCGGCAUGGCACCGCAAGACUUCUCUGUCACCCAGUGAGCAUGACUGUGCUCACAGGUCUGAACUGCAGCUCUGAGAGGCAAACCAGGAGGACCUUUCUUGGAUGUUCCAUCUCAGCUAGAGGAAAAGCCCUAAGAGAUCCUAGCCUGGAGAAUCAUGGAGCCAUGUCGUUAGGAGUUUGAGAUCAUUAUCACAGGACUCAUAUGCAAAAUGGA